AGUUGGUUAGAGCGCUACGUUGACAUCGUAGAGGUCACAGAUUCGAGUUCUGUAUCGCCCA
rnacentral:tRNA from 1 species